UGUUGCAGUAGCGACUGAGAAGGCGAGAUUAAAGAUCGUCUUCUGAGGAGUUGGAAUGAAGGAGGAGGUACGUUGCAGAGACAGAAAUGACGUUCGUAAAGGAUUAAAUAGCAUUGGUUGAUGAAUUGUAGAGGCCUAAUUCUUCACUUUUGAAACGACGGUGUUGUUCGUCGUUAUUGACCGGAGUGUUGAUGAGUCACCGGCGGAGGAACUGAUAUGUAGACUUGAUCUGUUAACGGAAUGGUUCUGGAUAGAGUGAGCGUUGAUUCUGUCUCCGGCGUCAAACCAGUUGUACGCCGUCUUCAGUGUGGCAUAUCGGCAGAGAUUGGGAGUGGGUAUAUCGGCAACUGGUAGAAAUAAGGGGGCAUAUGUAAGGGGUUAAUUGGGGGUGAUUAAUUGAAGCUGGUAUGGUAGAUGGCGGAGUAAUUGAAGCUGGGGAUGAGGAUAGACGAAGGCGGCAGAUAGGUUUUUGGAGGAUUGAAGGCAGUUAGGCAGCAGAAGUGAGGGUUCAAUGGGA
rnacentral:lncRNA from 1 species